rnacentral:rRNA from 1 species
CCUACGGGGGUCAGCAGUGAGGAAUAUUGGUCAAUGGACGCAAGUCUGAACCAGCCAAGUAGCGCGCAGGAUGACGGCCCUCCGGGUUGUAAACUGCUUUUAGUUGGGAAUAAAAGGGGGCUCGUGAGCCCCGUAUUGUAUGUACCAUCAGAAAAAGGACCGGCUAAUUCCGUGCCAGCAGCCGGGGUAUUACGGAAGGUCCGGGCGUUAUCCGGAUUUAUGGGGUUUAAAGGGAGCGUAGGCGGGCGUUUAAGUCAGCGGUGAAAGUCCGGGGAACAACCGUGGAAUUGCAGUGGAAACUGGAGGCUGUGAUUGCACACAGGGAUGCCGGAAUUCAUGGU